rnacentral:lncRNA from 1 species
AGCGAUACAAACUCAAUUUAAAUAAAUUAUUAUAACAAAGAUAUACAUUUCUUUAUCUUAUUGGUGGCACACCAAAGGUAUAGUUAGACCAUAUAGAAUUUGCCAAGCACACUAAAAUAUGUUGAAAUGAAGGUGUUAAAGUUAAAUGGACCAUAGGAGGUUGGUUUAUAAUGAUGUGCCAUCAAACAGACAUUUUGUCAACCCAUUGAGGGGUUGACUUACCUGUUCUUAAAAAAUAGAUUUUUUAAAACCUACCAACAUUCCAACAUUAGCAAAGUUGACUUCACCUACACCCCACGUGACCAUAUAUAUUGAAAGUCGAAACGAAAAGAGGCAAAAGAGGCCUAUCAUUAGCCAAGCCCUCUCUUAUAUCAACUAAACUGGUGCCAACAUUAUAUAUAACGUUUACACCAUAUUUAAUUAUUUUGUUCUAAGUCAUUUUUAUCUAAACUUUUCAGGUCAUACAUGUUGUCGAAACUUUUUUUAUCGGUCGACUUUUUAUCUAAAAAAUGAAAAUGGCGCAACUUUGACUUCUUAUUAAUAAAAAAAUUAUUAAAGUAACCCUAGCCAAGAAUGCUUUGCUUAGUAUCCUAGAGAGAACAAUUUUUUCUGUGGCUUAGGAUGGAGGAGAGUGGUGGCGCAGAGGGUUUUGAAGGAGACAAGAUCUCCCUAUUGGUAGAGGAACUUGUCCAAUUAUCAGUAAAAAGCUCGGUGUGGUACCAAGCGAAAAACCAACCCUAUUAUGCACAAUAUGGACGAAGAAAUCUUAUAAUCCAGAUAGCUUCAGGGCACAAAUCAAAAGUAUUUGGAAGACAAGGAAGAAAUUCGAGAUUAAAUUGGCAGGACAAAAUCUUUUUUUGAUAAUGUUUAAGAGUGAAGAAGAUCUAGAAUUAGUUAUGGCGGGGCAACCAUAGCUGUUUCGGAAAAAUUUAGUAAUUUUUGAUAGGUUGACUAGAUCGAUGGAAAGAAGUCAAAUCUGACUUAAUUGAUCACUGUUUUGGAUUAAGAUUGGACCAUGUUCACCAGAAUUUGAUAAAAAAAGAUCUGAUGCAUGCUAUUGGCGUUACUUUUGGAGGUGUUUUGAGAUCUGAAAUUAAUGGAGAAUUCUGUCGGCUAAGAAUCAAAUUAGAUGUGCAAAAACCCUUGCGAAGGGGUAUUUUUGUCUCAACAGAAAAUCAAAGUAAGUCUUGGAUUUCUUUUAAAAUAUGAAAAUUUACCUACAUUCUGUUUUGGUUGUGGAAAGACGGGGCAUGGGCUCAUAGACUACCAAGAGUUUACACCUGUAGAAAGAAACAAAGUCAGAAUUGAUCCUCCUUUUUCUUUAGCUUUAAAAGCAGAAUUAAAUUUAGUUGGAAGAGAGAGUCUAAUGUUUAAAGCCAACUCAAAGAAGAUGCAGCCUCAAUGUUCAUACGUAGGUAAUACUGAGAAUUUUACUGAAUUAAAUCUAGAAGUUGAUGGAAAAAGUGUUAUAUCCCAAGCUAAUUCACAAUGUACAGAAAAAGAGAUAGCGUUAAAGCUGUAGGAGGAUAAAAUGGAUAUAGAAGAUAAGGCUAUCGGGGCAUCUAAUAAUUCUACAAGAACUUUGAAUCCAGCCAAAAAAUUGAGUUGGAAGUGAAUCAAGGUAGAAAGAAGGGUGGAUUCUUACAACGAUGAAAGUAGACUAAGAAAAAGAAAAUCAGAAGAGUGUGCUUUUGAAAAAGAUGAUUCAAAAAUCUCUUGUGAAGAUGAAACAAAGAGAAUGAAGUACAAGGGCAAAUAAUUUCAAACAGGAGAAUAUACAAUUUUGUCGGCUGAAUAUUUCCCACAGGAAUAUGAUUUUCACCAAUAUAGAUCGGCGGGUGCCAAAAGGCAUACUGACCGGGCACAAUGAAAACUAUAUGUUGAAAUGUCCGUGGAUUGGGGAGUCUACAAGCAACACGAAGGCUUUGGUAUUUGCUGAAGCAAGAUAAGCCCCAAAUGGUCUUCUUUAUGGAGACUAAAAUUGAUGAAAAGCGCAUGGAAAAAAUUAGAAGGAGAUGUGGUUUCGAGAAUGGAACUAAUGUAGGAACAGAAGGGUCUAGAGGUGGAAUUUGUAUGGCGUGGAAAACAGGAACUAAUGUAACUCUUAAAAAUUUCUCAAGAAGCCAUAUUGAUGUAAUGGUAAAGGAGGAAAAUAUCAAUGAAGAGUGACGGUUUACAGGAUUUUAUGGAUCACCUUAUGUUCAUGAUAAGAAUGCCUCGUGGAAUUUAUUAAAGCAAUUGGGUAAAGAUCAAAAUCACCCAUGACUGGUAUGUGGUGAUUUUAACGAAAUAAUGUAUUCUUAUGAGAAAAACAAUGGUCUAUCGGGGGAAGAAAAAAGAAUGGAAGCUUUUCGCGAAGUUCUAAAUGAAUGUCAGUUAAUGGACGUGGGUUACAUGGGGGUUUGGUUCAUAUGGGAGAGAGGAAACUUACCGGGAACAAAUAUUAAAGAAAGGCUGGAUAGAGGCAUGACGAAUGAGAAGUGGAUGCAACUUUUUCCAAGUGGAACUAUUCAUCAUUUUACACACUCAAUUUCAGAUCAUUGCCCCUUACUUAUAAAUACUAAUAAGGGAAAAAUCAAUAAAGGAAUCUCAAGUUUCAAAUUCGAGGCAUGGUGGACUUUGGAGGAAUCCAUUGAACAAGAGAUUAAAAAAGCGUGGGAGUUUUCAGAUGGAUCUAUAUGCGAAAAACGAGAGGCUACAAUUCAGAUUGGUGAAUUGGGCGAGCGUAAUAAAGAGGGACUGAGAUGGUUUAAAGAAUAGGCUCACAAAGGAACUUGAAGAACUACUUGAAAGCGAUAGAGAUGAUGCCACAAUGGCAAAGCUGAUUGAUAUUAGAAUUCGACUCAAAAUGGAAAUUGAAAAAGACGAAAUGUACUGGGAACAAAGGGCACGAGCUAAUUGGCUCCAAUUAGAGGAUAAGAACUCAGUAUUUUUUCACAAGUAUGCCUUAGUACGUAAACGAAUUAAUACUAUUACUACGCUGGAAGCUGAUGGAGGUCAUGAAAUUACUGAUGAGUCAGCAAUUAAUGAGGCUAUUCAAAUUAUUUUCAAAAUUUAUUCACAUCGAAGUGAGUAGGGAAUUUAUCCCAUCUGCUAGAGGGUGUUAAGACUAAUAUUUCAUCCGACAUAAAUGAAGAUUUGCUAGUACCAUUUAAAGUAGAAGAGGUUUUUUCAGCUUUGAAAGGAAUGGGGCCUACUAAAGCGCCAAGUUGUGAUGGUUUUCCAGCAUUAUUUUUUCAGAGAUUCUGGCAUAUUGUAGGUAAGAAUGUUGAGAAAUUUUGCUUGGGAAUUCUGAAUGAUGGAAAAAUUUUUGAUUCUCUAAAUCUUACUGAUAUUGUACUUAUUCCAAAACUACCAAAACCCACAAGUCUAGCUAAUUUCAGACCCAUCUGCCUAUGCACAGUUUUACACAAAAUUGUGGCAAAAACAAUUGCAAAUCGGUUUCAGGAGGUCAUUAGAAGAAGUAUAAGGCCCAAAGUACUUUUGUUCUAGGAAGAUUAAUUACUGAUAACGUGCUAGUAGCUUACGAAAUCUUACACACGUUACGACAGAAACGAAUCGAAAAAAAAAGGGCUUAUGGUAGUUAAAUAAGAUAUGAGCAAAGCCUAUGAUAGAGUCGAAUGGUUUUUUUUUAAAGGAAGUUAUACUGAGAAUGGGUUAUGCAAAGGAAUGGGUGUCAUUGAUUAUGAAAUGCAUAUCCACAGUAUCUUACACAGUCAACAUUAAUGAAAGAAGAUGAAGGGUUUUUAAACCCACUUGAGAGCUCCGUCAGGGUGAUCCACUUAGUCAUUUUCUCUUUCUAAUAUGCAGUGAGGGACUCUCGUCUUUCAUAAGAAUAGCGACAACUGACGGUCUACUUAAAGGAGUAAGAGCAAGUCGAAGAGGGCCAGCGAUUUCCUAUCUACUGUUCGCAGACGAUUGUAUUUUGUUUGGCCAAGCGACAAAUAGAGGAGCAAGAAUAUUAAAAGGAAUUUUGGAAGAAUAUGAACAGUGCUCAGGACAAUGCGUGAAUUUUAACAAGUCAACGAUUUUCUACAGCUCAAAACAACAAAAAGGGACAAAGAAGAGGUAUCAAUAAUAUUAAGGGUAAGAUGCUCCACAAAUUUGGAAAAAUAUCUUGGCCUCCCUAAUGUGGUAGGCAGAAGGAAAAAUGAAGCUUUCCAGAAUCUAAAGGAUAAACUUAAUUCAAAGAUUGAUAGUUGGAGCACAAGACUACUGUCAUAAGGGGGUAAGGAGGUUUUUAUCAAGUCAGUGCUUCAAGCAAUUCCAGCUUAUGCUAUGUCAUGUUUUCUCCUACCAAAAUCUUUUUAUGGGGAGCUGGAAAAUAUUUUCGCUAAAUUCUGGUGACAAAAAGGGCAGGGAAGAAAAGGAAUACCCUGGUGUCAAUGGAGAUAUAUGUGCUGAUCAAAAGAAGAAGGGGGUACGGGUUUUAGAAAUCUGUUGCAAUUUAAUAUCUCACUACUAGCAAAGCAAGGAUGGAGGAUCAUAAUAAUCAGGAUUCGUUGGUUACGCAAGUUUUUAAAAUAAAAUAUUUUCCCAAUGAGUAUUUUUUAAAUUCUUGAUUUGGAAAAACUAGCUCUUAUAUUUGGAAAAGCAUAUGGGCAGCAAGAGGUAUUUUAGAAAAAGGUAUAUGCUGGAGGGUUGGCACAGGUUCAAACAUUUCUAUUAAUGAUGAUGCGUGGAUUCCAGAUACUGUUAAUUUUAGAUUAUCUUCAGUUGUUAAUACUAUGCGAGAUGCAAAGGUUAGUGAGCUGAUAAAUAGGAAUGCGAGAAUAUAGGAUAGAGAACUCAUCAAUAAUACCUUUUCAACGACCGAUGCUGGGAAAAUCCUCCAGAUACCUUUAGCACGCACACCUCAUGAAGAUCUGCUUGUAUGGGGAGGUGAACAUUCAGGGGAAUUCUCGGUACACAGCGCCUAUAAACUAUUACAAAAAUCUAAUGAAAUUCCAAGAGCUUAUCCUUUACAAACCAACUACGGGAACUUUUAUAAGAAAUUAUGGCGCCUAAAUCUACCGACUAAAAUAAAGAUUAUAGUAUGGAGAAUUUUUUGGAACUAUUUUCCUAAGAAGGUUAAUAUGCAACACUGGAAACUUGUUAGUUCAAACUAUCCCUGAAGUGGAAAAAGAAAUGAAACAAUCGAUCAUAUCUUCCGAGAAUGUCUUGUCACAGUGGAAGUUUGGGCACUAUGAAAACUUCAAAAUAUUCUUAUGAAUCCAAACAUGGAUUUUUUUAUAGUGGAUUACCUGAGACUUUGGAUAGUUCACUACAUGCUAGAAUAUACUUUUCUACUGUAGUCUCUGGGCUAUCUAGGGCGAAAGAAAUAAAAGAAAAAUGAGCAAAGAAUUAGUACAGGUCAAGAAAUAAUGAACUUCAUCAAUAAUUAUCUUGCUGAACUUAAUGGUCUUGAUAAGAUGAAGUCAAAAAGAGAGAAGAAAAAUAAAAGAUGGACCCAUCCACCUAAUGAGUUCGUCAAAAUUAAUUUUGAUGGUGCCUAUGAUUUGACUCAUGAAUAAUCUGCCUCAGGAAUAGUAACCAGAAAUAAAGAAGGAGCUGUUUUACUCACUUGCUCAGAGGUUCACCACGAAGCAACUUCUGCCUUUACAGCUGAAGCAAUCGCGUGUAGAAAAGCGGUCCAAAUAGCAGUCGAACAGGAAUGGCCGAAAAUUAUUAUAGAAGGUGAUUCCCUCACAAUAAUAAAGAAAUGUUUAUCAAAGAGUCAAGAUCGAUCAUGUAUUGAAGCAUAUAUAUAUAUGAUAUUAAGCAGAAACUAAAUAGAUCUAGGGGUUCAAUGUUAAAACACACACCAAGAUUGGCAAAUGCUCUCGCGCAUAUAGUGGCAACAGAGUUGCUGAAAAGGAAAUAAGAACUGUACCUGGUAAUGGAAGUCCCAGAAUAUGCUAAAGAACAAAGACAGAUCGACCGAAGAAGGGAACUAGAUUGAGGAGAGAAUGAAGAAGAAAAGAAUAAGAGGAAAGAAAAAGAAAGAAGAUGCAUCAGUUUGAAAAGAACAUCUUUCCAUAAAAAUUGAACCGUCAAAAGCAAAGAAAAGAAAUGAAGUCUCCAGAUGAAUAGACAGGGUUCAGAAGUUCUGUUUGGGCAUUAAUUAGGCGUAAUAAUUAUGAAUCUCUAGACUGUUUCGAUUAAAAUAUCUAGAUUUUCUUAGCUUUUUGGGCUCCUUUGUAUUGGGUCGUUUUAGUAGAUUAGCUUUGCUUAGCUGUUUUCACUGUUAGGUUUUGUAAUUCAUUUUCCAAUAAUAAGCCCAGUCUGAAAGUUUC